GGUAUAUUAAGAAUGCAUGACUUGAGGUUGCAUCUGUUUUCUCAAUUUUUUUGUAUGACUAUUACUAUUGUUAAAAGCUGGCUUCUCCAAAACUGACUUUAACAAAAAUUAUUUUCUUUAAAUAUGAGAAGAAUACACUCAUUUUCUGAAAUAGACAUUAUGUGGAUUUGGGAGCUGGCCUUGUAUGAUUGACACUUUCUACUUUUUACUUAAGAGAACCUGGAAAACACAAGAGUUGUGCUCUGUGUGUUUUGCAUUAAAUGAAACUGAAGACGAAUUAGCUUCAUUUUUCUGCUCUGAACUUCUGAGCCUUGGCUGGGCUAAGUGCCUUUUCUCCUCCAGCCUUAUAAAAAUACUCUUCAGCAAGAACAAAAACAACUGACAAGUUCAUUGUUCAUUUGUACAGUUGUUUUUGCUUUAAAGAGAGUGUCUCAUGCAGUCCAGGCUGAUCUGGAACUCACUAUGUAGCUGAGACAGAUCUUGAACUCCUGAUCUCCCUGCUGGGAUUAUGGACAUGUGCCACUGUGCCCAUUUCAAGUUGAGGUUUUUUUCCCCAAGAAAAUCCACAAGGGUAAAAUAGCUAUCUCUCUUCUGAACCUAGAUAACUUCGGCAACAUGAAGCUGAGGCAGCCAAAGAGAAAAUUCUCCUGACUCUAUUCUUAAAAGUCUUUCUAAUAAUAAUAAAAAAAUGAUUGAUUCUUACAGGAAACUAUGUGUUUCUGUGGCAAAUACCAUCUGUCUUGACUUUACACCAUGGCAUGCACUGAAAUGUGUCAUCCUAAUACUGAAACUGUCCCACAGCUUGAGACUGAAACUGAGUGCACUUUGUUCGGAUGUGUCACACGAACAGCUUGCCUGCUGUGUUUCCAGUAAUAAUUUUUCAUGACUGGUUAAACAAAAAGGACCUGCAGCAGCUACAUUUGUCAGGCGGAUGCCUCUCUGCAGCUGCCACCCUGAGCCAAUGUUGCACAGCUCCCAGGGCAUCAGGACCUCAGGGCUUCUUGCAGGGGGAGUUUUUGCAUUGGCUUCUACAGGACUGGUACAUGUGCAGGAGCCACUGGAACCCUCUGGGAGCAGAAGCAGUGUCUGAAAUCAGAAAACAGUUGCAUCCAGAUGUACUAUGACUUGGAGACAUGGCAGAAAGGACUCACAGGUUUUGGGGGACUUGAAAUCUACAAUGCUUAUGUUUGCAAAUGUAAAAAUUACAGCCUGAAGUAUCAUGCCAAUUGCCCAAGGUUCUCAGUCUCAAGAACCACCUGAUUUCAACAAAUGAGCCCUGACCCUGUAACUGGCAAUAAGAUGUCUAGAGUAGAAUAAUGAAAC
rnacentral:lncRNA from 1 species